UUUGAAAUUUUUUUAGAUUUGUUUAAGACUAAGUUUGUUUCACUUGCAUACUUGGUUGCCAUUUUAUGUCUCAAAGUGCAUUUUUCACGCAUUUUGAACUUUUUGUUAGUUUGUGAGUUACGAACUUACACUUAAGGAUUGUUAGGUCGUUUUAAACACAUUUUGCGUUGGUUUGAAACUAAGUUUGUUGCACUUACACAUUUGAUUGAAAUGUUGGGUCUUGAAGUACUUUUUUUCACACUUUUUGAAAUUUUUUUAGGUUGUG
rnacentral:lncRNA from 1 species